rnacentral:tRNA from 1 species
GCCUUCGUGAUGUAGUGGUCAGCACGCUCGACGCAUAACCUAGAGGUCCGCGGUUCGAUUCCUGGCGAAGGCA